CACGCGACAACCCGGUUUGGUUCGUACGGAUGGAUGGUCAUAUGGGUUUAGCCAACUCUCUUGCCCUAAAGCUUGCUGGAAUUACCAACUCAAGUUGGGACCCUGUUGGUGGGACAAUCUUGAAAACAAGUAACGGAGGAUUUGAGGCUUUCUCUACAGUCCUGGGAGACUAGCCCCAAAACUUGCUACAGGAGAACUGUCUAAUCCUUCUCCAUUCUAGGAAUUCCGAAUAAAGCGAUAAGAUAAAGGAGUGGAGCCCACUCCAAAACUGCUCUCUCCUUAUCCAAUCCAAGGGAAGCAUCUAUUCAAACAAAAUUUAAUAUUUUGCAUAAAUUUUCUGUCAUUAUUUAACUAUUUAGUAAUGAAGUAUUAAUUAAGCUUAUUUAAAUAAUGGGUUGGAUUUCUUUUACCUAAAAUUCGAGUUGUUACAAUUUUGAAAUUUACCCCAAUGUAUGUGCACACACACAUACCUCAUCAUAGUCGUAAUUAUAGAAAUAUAUCUGCUUGUAUUAUCCUGGUAUUGUCCUUAAAAAAUAAUGCUUGAAUGUUUAUUUUGGAUCAAAAUACUACCUGUUUUGAUCUCAUACUAUUUAUUUGAAGUCCAAUGAAUGAUAUUGUUUCAAAUAAUAUGGAUACAAUAGUCUAUAAUGUAGAUACAACAUAGCACAAUCCAAUUGCUAUAGUGCAACAUAAUGCAUUCUACCAAUUACAACAAAACGUAAUGCAAUCUAGUAGCUGUAACACAAAAGAGUGCAAGCUAAGAGUAUAUAUCAUAUAUUAAUAGAAAUGAUCAACCAAAGAAUUACAAUAUUUAAAACCAAGAUAAAUGACAUUAGUACAAACAUUUGAACACUUAACUGUGUUCGAAUCAUGUUUAAACUAUGUUCGACUACGGUUUGUAAAAGCUUGUAGUUCAAAUAAAGUUUACAUAAGAUUCAAAGAAGUCUCUUGGAUCUUCUAUCUAGCUUUGCAUAAGUGCUCCAUCAAAAUAACCUAACUCAUUUGAAUCAGUUGAUGCAUGAUAUACAAAUUAAAAUCAUAUUACCUAUAGUUAUUAAGGUCAUUAAAUUAAAUUUUUUGAUUGAGCUUUAAAAAUGUGGUCAUCUUAACCUAUUAAUUAGUGAACAAAACACAAAUAAAGAAGUAAUGAAAGCUAUAGAGAUUGCCAAAGUAUGGAAGGGCAGAAUGUCUAAUACUACUAUUUUGAUCCAAAUUGAACUUUUGUCCAUAUUUCUCUUAUAAAACAAACAAUGGGUAUGUUUCUCCAACUUUAACUAUGAUGAGGUUUAUAAAGUCAAUUUCCCUAUAUAUUAGGGGGAUGACAUAUAUUUCUUAAAAUUAUUAUAUAUUGAUAGAUUUAAAACCUAAAUCUUUAUAUUUAGUUAUGUAAAGUUCAAAAUAUUCCCCCAACUAUUAGUAAAUGCCUAAUUUAGUCACAUACCUUUAUAAAGCCCCAAUUUUGUCCACCGACUAUUAGAAAGUAUUUCAAUUUUGUUCAAAGGCUAAAAGCGGUUAAAGUUAACCCUAACAGUUAAAUGUGAUGAUUUUUUUGGAUAUUAUGGUUUAU